UGCGCAGGCGGUUUUGUAAGACAGGCGUGAAAUCCCCGGGCUCAACCUGGGAACUGCGCUUGUGACUGCAAGGCUAGAGUAUGGCAGAGGGGGGUGGAAUUCCACGUGUAGCAGUGAAAUGCGUAGAGAUGUGGAGGAACACCGAUGGCGAAGGCAGCCCCCUGGGCCAAUACUGACGCUCAUGCACGAAAGCGUGGGGGAGCAAACAGGAUUAGAUACCCUGGUAGUCCACGCCCUAAACGAUGUCAACUAGGUGUUGGGUGGGUAAAACCAUUUAGUACCGGAGCUAACGCGUGAAGUUGACCGCCUGGGGAGUACGGCCGCAAGGUUAAA
rnacentral:rRNA from 1 species